AACGAACGCUGGCGGCAUGCCUAACACAUGCAAGUCGAACGAAGGCUUCGGCCUUAGUGGCGCACGGGUGCGUAACGCGUGGGAAUCUGCCCCUCGGUUCGGAAUAACAGUUAGAAAUGACUGCUAAUACCGGAUGAUGGCUUCGGUCCAAAGAUUUAUCGCCGAGGGAGGAGCCCGCGUAAGAUUAGGUAGUUGGGGGGGUAAAGGCCUACCAAGCCGACGAUCUUUAGCUGGUCUGAGAGGAUGAUCAGCCACACUGGGACUGAGACACGGCCCAGACUCCUACGGGAGGCAGCAGUGGGGAAUAUUGGACAAUGGGCGAAAGCCUGAUCCAGCAAUGCCGCGCGAGUGAUGAAGGCCUUAGGGUUGUAAAGCUCUUUUACCAGGGAUGAUAAUGACAGUACCUGGAGAAUAAGCUCCGGCUAACUCCGUGCCAGCCGCCGCAGUAA
rnacentral:rRNA from 1 species